rnacentral:rRNA from 1 species
UAGGGAAUCUUCCGCAAUGGACGAAAGUCUGACGGAGCAACGCCGCGUGAGUGAUGAAGGUUUUCGGAUCGUAAAGCUCUGUUGUUAGGGAAGAACAAGUGCGAGAGUAACUGCUCGCACCUUGACGGUACCUAACCAGAAAGCCACGGCUAACUACGUGCCAGCAGCCGCGGUAAUACGUAGGUGGCAAGCGUUGUCCGGAAUUAUUGGGCGUAAAGGGCUCGCAGGCGGUUUCUUAAGUCUGAUGUGAAAGCCCCCGGCUCAACCGGGGAGGGUCAUUGGAAACUGGGAAACUUGAGUGCAGAAGAGGAGAGUGGAAUUCCACGUGUAGCGGUGAAAUGCGUAGAGAUGUGGAGGAACACCAGUGGCGAAGGCGACUCUCUGGUCUGUAACUGACGCUGAGGAGCGAAAGCGUGGGGAGCGAACAGGAUUAGAUACCCUGGUAGUCCACGCCGUAAACGAUGAGUGCUAAGUGUUAGGGGGUUUCCGCCCGUUAGUGCUGCAG